GAUACGAUUCACCCAGGGGUUGUUAUGGAUACGAUCACCCCAGGGGUUGUUAUGGAUAUGAUCACCCAGGGGUUGUUAUGGAUACGAUCACCCAGGGGUUGUUAUGGAUGCUAAAUGCAGGGGGGCUCAUUUAUAGAUGAUAAAC